AUUGAACGCUGGCGGCAGGCCUAACACAUGCAAGUCGAACGAGUGGCGGACGGGUGAGUAAUGUCUGGGAAACUGCCUGAUGGAGGGGGAUAACUACUGGAAACGGUAGCUAAUACCGCAUACCAUCAGAUGUGCCCAGAUGGGAUUAGCUAGUUGGUGGGGUAACGGCUCACCAAGGCGACGAUCCCUAGCUGGUCUGCGAGGAUGACCAGCCAAACUGGAACUGAGACACGGUACAGACUCCUACGGGAGGCAGAAGGGGGGAAGAUUGCAAAAUGGGGGCAAGCCUGAGGCAGCCAUGCCGCGUGUAUGAAGAAGGCCUCCGGGUUGUAAAGUACUUUAAGCGGGGAGGCGUUACCAGCAGAAGAAGCAACGGCUAACUACGUGCCAGCAGCCGCGGUAAUUC
rnacentral:rRNA from 1 species